rnacentral:lncRNA from 1 species
CCACGCCAACAUACCUGGCCUGCAGCUGGCGCGGUGGGCGGGGGCGCUGGUGUGCAACUGGCCGGGAGGCAGGAGCGAACGCCGCGGCCGCUGCCUGGUCCCGGUCCUCACCGGGGUCCACGCAGCCUUGUACCGGGCAGCUCUCCUUCACUACACAGCCUUUUCAAGCUGCGUUUCCUUAGUUUUCGCCGUUCCCGAUCCCGCCCCUCAGUCAGACCGACUGCCGGCCUCAGCUCCGAAGCGCCCAGCCUGUCAGGGGUCAACAGACCUCAGGAUGUCUCCCUACUCCAUAGAGAAACCUAAUUCAGGAGAGCCACUGAGAAACUUGUCUCCACCAAAGUAUGAAUGAUCCUUUAUAUAUUGUCAUUCUUAUGGGGCUUUUUUAUUUUAAUGGACUAAAGUCGGCGUUUCCAUACUUUGGGAAUGGUAGGGAAAUCUUGAUACUUUACUGGACUAAUCACCAAAAUUAUUCCCACCCAUGUGCAAUUUGCUAGAAUUCCCAUCGACUAAGGAUGCGCACCCACAACAAUAACCCCUACUUGCAAACCAGAAACUUCUGCCUUCAGCAGCCCCGAUCUCAGGCUCCCGGUCCCAGGCGGCCCAGUGUUUCGUCGGUUCGAAUCCUGGGCGCGGACAUGGCACUGCUCGUCAGACCACGCUGAGGCAGCGUCCCACAUGCCACAACUAGAAGGACCCACAACAAAGAAUGCACAACUAUGUACCGGGGGGCUUUGGGGAGAAAAAGGAAAAAAUAAAAAAUCUUUAAAAACGGC